UUGAGGAAAGGAGGACAGCAGUGGAGAGAGAAGAAAAGAGCGCAUGGAACUGCACUCUUGCACAUAGUUUUUGAUGAAAUUGACGAGUAGUAUAAAAGGAUCGAUCCUAUUGGCUCUAGUAUCGAGUUAGUGAGCAAGCAGGUUCCAGUGCCUGAUGAGCUGUGCCUGAUGAGCUGCACCUGCCGGAUGAGCUGCACCUGCUGGAAGCCUACAAGGGGAGCCAAGCCAGAUACGUCGCUCUCUCACUCCUCUGGGCACUCUCUCCGUGCCAGCCUCGGGGACCUGUUGCUGGUUUCAUGGAUUUAUUUGUUUAUUAAGAAUAAACUAUUGUGAUAUUCUU